rnacentral:rRNA from 1 species
CGGACGGGUGAGUAAUGCCUAGGAAAUUGCCCUGAUGUGGGGGAUAACCAUUGGAAACGAUGGCUAAUACCGCAGGAUUCCUACGGGCCAAAGAGGGGGACCUUCGGGCCUCUCGCGUCAGGAUAUGCCUAGGUGGGAUUAGCUAGUUGGUGAGGUAAGGGCUCACCAAGGCGACGAGCCCUAGCUGGUCUGAGAGGAUGAUCAUCCACACUGGAACUGAGACAGGGUCCAGACUCCUACGGGAGGCAGCAUUGGGGAAUAUUGCAUAAUGGGCGCAAGCCUGAUGCAGCCAUGCCGCGUGUGUGAAGAAGGCCUUCGGGUUGUAAAGCAGUUUCAGUCGUGAGGAAGGUAGUGUAGUUAAUAGCUGCAUUAUUUGACGUUAGCGACAGAAGAAGCACCGGCUAACUCCGUUCCAGCAGCCGCGGUAAUACGGAGGGUGCGAGCCUUAAUCGGAAUUACUGGGCGUAAAGCGCAUGCAGGUGGUUUCUUAAGUCAGAUGUGAAAGCCCGGGGCUCAACCUCGGAAUAGCAGUUGAAACUGGCAGACUAGAGUACUGUAGAGGGGGGUAGAAUUUCAGGUGUAGCGGUGAAAUGCGUAGAGAUCCUUAGGAAUACCGGUGGCGAAGGCGGCCCCGCCGACAGAUACUGACACUCAGAUCACAAAGCGUGGGGAGCAAACAGGAUUAGAUACUCCGGUAGUCCACGCCGUAAACGAUGUCUACUUGGAGGUUGUGGCCUUGAGCCGUGGCUUUCGGAGCUAACGUCCUAAGUACAUCGCCUGGGGAGUACGGUCGCAAGAUUAAAACUCAAAUGAAUUGACGGGGGCCACCACAAGCGGUGGAGCAUGUGGUUUAAUUCGAUGCAACGCCACGAACCUUACCUACUCUUGACAUCCAGAGCCCUUCAGAGAGAUGGAUUGGUGCCUUCGGGAACUCUGAGACAGGUGCUUCAUGGCUGUCGUCAGCUCGUGUUGUGAAAUGUUGGGUUAAGUCCCGCAACGAGCGCAACCCUUAUCGUUGUUUGCCAGCGAGUAAUGUCGGGAACUCCAGGGAGACUGCCGGUGAUAUCCCGGAGGAAGGUGGGGACGACGUCAAGUCAUCAUGGCCCUUACGAGUAGGGCUACACACGUGUUACAAUGGCGCAUACAGAGGGCGGCCAACUUGCGAAAGUGAGCGAAUCCCAAAAAGUGCGUCGUAGUCCGGAUUGGAGUCUGCAACUCGACUCCAUGAAGCUUGAAUCGCUAGUAAUCGUGGAUCAGAAUG